CCAGCUCGGCAAUCUUGGCCAUGGAUUCGUUCUCUGCGUCCCGAAGCUUCUCUGUCAGCUGUGGCACAGCACAUGCUCCUCCAUGUGUUCCAGCACAGCAUUCUUGGUUUCCGUGUCCUCCAGCAGCGCACCCACAUCAAAAACAUUGUCCAAAUACGCUUGGAUCUGCACCUGCAGCUUGUCGCUCUCUGUGAGCCGCAGCCUCUGUCCCCGAGACGGAAAGAGUGGGGUGAGGCCCAAGGGUUGUGCCGUCGUCACCACUGUCUCAUUCCAGAACAUUUUCAUCCCCCCAGAAGAAACCCUGCUGUUAGCUGUCAGUCCUUACUCUCCCCUCCCCCCACUGUUGGCGACUGCCAGCAGACCUUCUGCCUCUUCUGGACAUUCACAUAAAGGAAUCAUCCAGUACUUGGGCUUUUGUGUCUGGCUGCUUUCACUUAGCUUAAUGCUUUCAAGGUUCAUCCAUGCGAUGGCGUGUAUCAGAACUUCAUCCCCUUACAUGGCUGAAUAAUAUCCCCUCAUAUGGUUAAAUCUUCCCCUCUAGCUUUUCACCUUUUGGCUUUUAGGAGAAAAAUCCAAAUCCCAAUCCAAUCCCAAAGGCCUCCCGAAGGAAUCGGGGUAUCUGCAGCUUCUCUGCUCAGGUUGGACCAGGAAGCACCAAGGCCCUUUGCCCACCUUCUCCAGGGCAAGGAACUCCUCUAGGCCCUGGGCCCGUCCGACAUGAGCCUGCUCCCACUUCUGCCCAGUAUCUCCAUGCUUCCCAUUAUGCUCUUGAGGUAGAACCUGUCUGAGGCUGAUCCUCCCAAAGCCAGACAGGCCCAGGGCCACCCAGAGCCUGUUCCCGUGCCUGAGAUAACAGCUCCACGGACCGCGUGGCUAGAAGGUGGCAGAAA